rnacentral:tRNA from 1 species
UCCCUGGUGGCUCAGUGGUUAAGGACCUGGCAUUGUCACUGCUGUAGUGCAGGUUUGAUCCCUGGCCUGGGAA